GUGUUCGUAGAAAGGAGAGAUGAUUGGCAUCUUCCCCGACAGGGACAGGAACAGCCUUAGGAAUUUACCUGUUACAACACAUCCGGUUAAGGCUUCUCUAUGGUGGAUUUUACCCCAAUUUUUC